rnacentral:lncRNA from 1 species
CGGGUGUGACAGAUUAUAUUGGUAUCAGAGCCUAGGGUUGAGUCCAUAGUUAGUUAAUUGGGAUUCGGCAAAAAUUCUGUACGGGUAUAAUUCGGAUAAAAUUCGUCUUCUAAUUUUUAAAUUCGUUGAAAAAAACGGCUAAAAAACGGAUUCGUCAAUUAUUCGGAUACGUGAUUUAUACGGAUAUUAUACGUUCACCAAUUAAAAAUUCGGGAUCAAAAAUUCGGCUAUUAAAUUAAGUUUUUUUCUCUCAAGAUUUAUGCUUCCAUCCAGACUUGGGAUUUGGGAAAUUGGGAUUUUAUUUAUCUCUUGCUUGUCUAUUACAAAAGUGAGUUCAUUACAUAUACUGCUUCCAUCUAGAGGACCAAAAUGUAAGAGUUAUAAUGGCAGGGGUAUGGUAGUAAUUGUAUUAGUACUAAUUGCAUCAACUCCUGUGGCUUCAAUACGCCUCCCUCCAAGAAAGCGGAGUCGGGUCCGACAAUGCAGCUGUGAGAGAGCGCGGACCCGUCGCCCGAAAGCCGAAUCAAGGUGCGGAGUCGGGCUUGGUGACGCUACAGUGAGGGAGUGCGAGCCCACUACCCGUUAGCCUAUCUCUCCCAUAGAUCACACCGCCGCCUUGCUUCCUCCUACCAUGGAUCCUCCAUUGUCUCACUCUACUCCUUUACCUUCUAUCUACUGCUCCUCUGCUCGCCGUCAUGGUUGCACCAUGACAGAAGAGGGGGAGGGGAAGAACCGCGGCCGCCGCAGGAGUGAGAAGUUAGGGCAAACCCUUCUUUUGGGAGGGGUCGGGGACUCGGGGUGGGAGGGGAGCGAUCUUUUCAGAAAGGGUUUUUUUUUUUUUUUUUUUUUUUUUUUUUUUUUUUUUUUUUUUUUUUUUUUUUUUUUUUUUUUUUUUUUUUGCCUUUUGGGCGACAUGGCGAGGCGAAGCGCGUAGCUUCUCUGAAAAGGUUUUUUUUUUAAUAUUUUCGGCCACCCGCAAGGCCCGCGACUCCACGUCGCAGCAACCGCCCCGAUCUUUUGGGGCGAACUAUUCGCGAACCACGUUCAAUUCGCGAAUAAUUACUUUUACCCAAAAAAAUGCGUUUUUUUCCGAAUUUUUGAGAAAAAAUCGAAAACGGCCGUUUAAUUCGGAUUUUCAAAUAUUCGCGAAUAAUUCGCGAAUAUUUCGCGAAUUAACUAACUAUGGUUGAGUCUUAGUGGACCUAGCAAAUCUUAGGCUUGUUGGACUAUAGGAAAUAGGCUCGUGAGAGACGGAGGUCUAUUUGAUUUGUGAGCGAAAGUAUCAUGAUUGGGUUUUAAAUCAACUCUAAAAUGUUGGAGUUUAAUUGAAGUGUGCAACUUCUAAC